rnacentral:rRNA from 1 species
CGAGUGAAGCGGGAAAAGCUCAAAUUUAAAAUCUGGUGGUGAUCAUCCGAGUUGUAAUCUAGAGAAGUGUUACCCGCGUUGGACCGUGUACAAGUCUCCUGGAAUGGAGCGUCAUAGAGGGUGAGAAUCCCGUCUUUGACACGGACUACCAAGGCUUUGUGGUGCGCUCUCAACGAGUCGAGUUGUUUGGGAAUGCAGCUCAAAAUGGGUGGUAAAUUCCAUCUAAAGCUAAAUACAGGCGAGAGACCGAUAGCGAACAAGUACCGUGAGGGAAAGAUGAAAAGAACUUUGGAAAGAGAGUUAAACAGUACGUGAAAUUGCUGAAAGGGAAACGCUGGAAGUCAGUCGCGUUGGCUAGGAAUCAACCUUACUCUUUUGUAGGGCUUACUUCUUAGUUGACGGGCCAACAUCAAUUUUGAUUGCUGGAAAAAGGCUUAGGGAAUGUGGCACCUUCGGGUGUGUUAUAGCCCUAGGUUGUAUACAGUGGUUGGGAUUGAGGAACGCAGCACGCCGUAAGGUUGGGCUCUGAUCACACUCGUGCUUCGGAUGUUGGCAUA